rnacentral:rRNA from 1 species
ACGCUGGCGGCAUGCCUAACACAUGCAAGUCGAACGAGACCUUCGGGUCUAGUGGCGCACGGGUGCGUAACGCGUGGGAAUCUGCCCUUUGCUUCGGAAUAACAGUUAGAAAUGACUGCUAAUACCGGAUGAUGUCUUCGGACCAAAGAUUUAUCGGCAAAGGAUGAGCCCGCGUAGGAUUAGGUAGUUGGUGGGGUAAAGGCCUACCAAGCCGACGAUCCAUAGCUGGUUUGAGAGGAUGAUCAGCCACACUGGGACUGAGACACGGCCCAGACUCCUACGGGAGGCAGCAGUGGGGGAAUCUUAGACAAUGGGGAAACCCUGAUCUAGCCAUGCCGCGUGAUCGAUGAAGGCCUUAGGGUUGUAAAGAUCUUUCAGUGGGGAAGAUAAUGACGGUACCCACAGAAGAAGCCCCGGCUAACUCCGUG